ensembl:lncRNA
GCUAAGUAGCCCUGAUGGGGGCUCUCAGAAAGGCACCCCAGGGCUUGGCGGUCGGCAUGGCUGCCCUCUGCCCGGAACCUGGGAUCUUGGAGGAACCCCUCUUUCCCCUCUAGUUAAGUAACCAAAUGUUUGCUGGACACACACAGCGUGGUCCCUUCAUGUGCCGGGUGUUUGGGGGAGGAGGGAUCAGAGGAGAGGACAGUCUUUGCUUUCUGGAGUUUGCUGCGGAAGCAUUAAUUAGGAGGACGAUAAAAGGCAAUGUCACAUUAAGAGCAUAACUGCUGGUUAGAAAUACGUUAUCGCUCUGGGCUCUAGGCUCCUGAAAGACAUGCCCACGUGUAGGCUGACGAGAUCAAGCUGCCAGCAUUAGAACGAGCCGCCACCUGCAAAAACAGGUUGUGGUUCCGAGUUGGUUUUGUGAAAGGAAUCGUCAGACCAACACCACCUGGGGGACAAAGCUGGAGGACGGCCCGACGUAACUCCCACUUGGAGGCUGAAGCAGCCGCAGAGAAGAGGGUACAAAGAUGGCGCUCUCCGUGGCCGCACCGCGCACCCAGCAUCCAGCCUCGCUCAAGACACUAGCGCUCCUUCAGACACAUGCGCAGUCGCUUCAGGUGCGUCCGACUCUUUGCGAACCCAUGGCCUGUAGCCCGCCAGGCUCCUCUGUCCACGGGAUUCUCCAGCUGUGCCCUGGGCUGCAUGGACAAAAGAACUACAUUUCCCAGCCUCCCUUGGAGCUGAAUGUGACCAUGUGACUCAGUUCUGACCAAUGGAAAGAAAGCAAUGAAUACAACCUCCUUUCCUUCCCCUCCCUUACCUCUGGCUGGACUUUGAAUUCCAAAACAGAUUUCUUGGUGCCUGGGCCCCUGAUCCCAUGGAGGGGCUGCACCAGCCCUGGGUCAUUUACACUGGGAUUGUU